GAGCAGUCAAGCAACAGCUGUUCUUAAGGGCAGGUUUCCUUCUCUCCUACAAUCAUAAGCUCAGCUUCCCUCAGGCCUUGCUGUACCACCAAUAUUAGCCACUUGGCUGAGAGAUUGGAGAGACAGGUUAAAAACAGUGCCUGAAUUGCUGCAUUAUGGAUUGAUCUUCCACCGCUGACAUCAACGGGACCUUUGCCAUUAACUUCAAUCCAUGGAAUGAAACAGAGUUCUGAAGUCAAUAGGCGAUACCAGUGCCUCUUGUCCAUUCUCCAGGAAUUUCACUUGAUCAGACUGUUUUCCAUUCCUACCACAACAGAGCAUUUAUUCACUUGUUCGAUGGAGUUCUGUGGAGGAAUCACAUGAUCAGUAAGAUGGCUACUGAUUAAGCAUCUGAAUGCUGAGACUAGAAAUGUGCCUUGAGACCAACAAUUCAGACCUGAAUCCCAAUUUCAACCCCCCAUCCGUCGGUGGUGACAAGGAAGUAACUUUCUCAGAAAGCAGAAGCUGAUUAGGAGGAAAUAGUGGGGAUUUUUUCCCCACCUCAAUGAAGUGUCCCAUUGCAGGAGGACAUCCUGUGAGGCAAGCAAACCUACAGGUUUUUCUUCUCAGUUAGAUUUUAUGUGAGCUCAUGCUGUCUGUCCUAAGCUUGCAUAAUUGAGUACAAAAGGGUGUGUAUAUAUAUGUAAAUGUGUAUUGCUGCACUGACUCAAUACGGGCUCCAAAUGCAGUAUUGUCAUGAGUAAUAUCUUAUACUAUCCAUCUGUACUGUUUAGAUGCCCUGUUAAAUACACAUAGCUUUUCCUUUUUAAAACUAGACAUGACAAACCACUAGAAAACACCUGAGUCUUCCCUAUCUCUAACGUCUAAGAUUCUAAAGGCAACAGCUUGUUAGUACAGAAAUGCAUUGUAUUCUCCACACCUUGUGAGAACAGGCACCAGAGCUCAUGCUCAUGCUCUGGGAUCACGAUCAAACUAGGUCAAAAACAUGAAUUUAGGAACCACGAACUCAGAGAAAAAAGGUUCAGAGUGGCAUUAGGAAAGCUUAUCAAAGCAAUUUAGUGGCACGCUAGCACUGCUAUGUGCUUUUGCAGGGCAGGUCCAGCAUAGGAAAUGACUCCUGCUGCCUAAAUCUGUGGAGGUCAGGUGAUCACCAGAGUAAUGACUGAUUUUGUGGAAGGGAAGGGGCUUUCCUAUUUUCCUUUUAAAAAUGUAUAUUUAUCUUUUAACAUAUUGUGCAUCAAAAAAAAUCUUCCCUCUCAAUUCCUACUUGUUCAAUCCUCACCUAAAUUCAGAUGUCUUGGUUUACAGCAAAAUCGUCUCUCAACACAGCAAAGAUCUUAUAGAAAUGAAGCUUUGGCUGUUCAGUUAAUGUAUAGUGUCAUGUACAAUAUAGCAUAUUCACAGGAAGCCUGACCCAAAUGUUCAAAAUGGCAUGGAUGCAAACAAGCAUUGAAAUAUUUGCAUUAAAUUUGCAAGUGCCCAAAUUGCAUGGGCAACUCUGAUUAUCCAUUUGUGCAAUUAACUAAUUUGUACACUCUAUUGUCAUAACUAUGCAUAAAUCAGGCACAAAACUAUAUGGAUAUUCCAGCAGGUACACUUCUGUAAAUGUGUGCCACAACUUCUGAUAUAAAGAUAAAUCCCCGUCAUCUCAUUACAAGCAAUGGGAGAAUAAGCCCUAAAUAACACAUCUCAGAGUCCCAAAUUCAAUUAGGAUAAUGUAAAAUGAUCUACCAGUGGAGGUAUUAUAUGCAGUUCCAUCAUAAUAUCAUAUCCUUUUUAGCUUGUGACAAACACCUGAACAAAAACAGUUGGGAAUCAGGAGCAUUGGUUAAAUAAAUCCUGUUUCAGUGUAAUGAGAUUUGCUUUAAAAGACCCGACCCCUCCCCCAACAGCUAUUCCAAAAUAAUAGAAUAUUUAGCAUAGUGCCAAAUGUUUUCUUCCCCAUUCAAAGAUUAGAUGAAAAACAGACAGUUCUCAAAUUCAAGAGGUGAGCAACAGCCUAUGCUUGAAUAGCCCGCUCCAGACUGGUUUAUUCAUGGAAGUGUUCCGGCACUGAAAUAUGUCAUUUGCUGUAUGUUUAGCACAAUAGCUUAUCUAAAUCCUCUCUCCCCACUCGCCUCAGGAACUGAAGUAUGUCACUGCAUUUCUUACCGCUCUGCAGGCUUCCGAAAUACCUUAUCUUCUUUUGGCCUGGUCCUACCUGAUGCUGAGGAUGCUUAGCUCCCAUUGGCUUCAACAGAAGUUGUGGGUGCUUGUCAUCUCUCAGGAUUAAUCGCUCUCUUCUUGCUAGGUUAAAAACUACAAGGCCAUCCCAGAAUGCAGAGAUGAUGUCAGUAUGUGGGGAUUAUGCACAUCUGAUUUCGUCUAGAUUGUUUAUCUUUUAAACACCA